ensembl:lncRNA
AUGGAGGGAAGGCUAUAUAAUAUUAUGUGUCUGGUAUAUCUUUAUGCAUAUAUCACAGGUUCAUCCACCAGUCACAGUGGAUGCAUCACAGAGCACCCCUGCCCAAAACACACCCUCUGUCAGUGUUGUGUCAUGUACUGCAUAGAUGACAAAACUGACAUUGUCAAUGGUAAUCAGACCGUACUAUUGCAGUUUGAAAAGUCAAGGUUUGGAGGCUCACAUGUGGCAGCAGCAAAACCCAAUUUGAGCACCCAAAGGAAAACCUCUCAGACAUUAGAGCACUCCAGUUCAGCCGCAGCUUCAUGCCCACCCUCUGAUCCCCAUCCUCCUCCAUCCCCCAAACCUCAUCGGCCUGUCAUCCAGCCCUCCUCUCCCUUCUUCAUUCCUCCACCUCAGAGAUCAAAACGCAUCAAAGAAACAGCAACGCCAUCCACUAUUUCUGAGUUUGUUGUUGUGAGGAGCCAAAUAAAAUGUCAUUCAAAAUAUAAACAUGCCUUCAUUAUUUAACGCUCUGUUAGCUUUUAUUUAAACCAGUUUUUUUUAUAAUAUCAGCAGGUCUCAUCUCAGCCAGAAGAUCUCCCACUACUGUGGCCACAGACAAUGCCACAGCAGGACCAGAAGUGGGUGUCAGAAGCACUUUUUAGGGUUGGUGCAAAGGGAAAGCUGGAGCUGUGUGAAAACUUACAUUUGUGGUAUCACCCCCCACCACCAACACUUUUGUACCACCAAGGUCCAACACCUGAUAGAUUUUUUUCACAACGUCUCUUGCUCUGAAUGCCAUAUAGGCUGUGGAAGGUGUGGCUCAGGGUACUAACCCUGCCUGUGCCAGACAUCAGCUGUGUGAUGGUGGUCUGCACAGGAGGGUACGACAGGUGUUAGAUAUCGACAGAUACUACAACCUGGUGACAGAGACCCUGAUUUGCACCAGGUGUAGAAGUCAUGCUGUGCUGCAUCAGUUGGACCUGGCCCAUUGAUCUGAAUUCAGGGUCAUCCUCAAACGCAAGUAACUAUUUUGCAGUCAUGUUCACUCAUGUGGUACCUUUUUUGGUAAAUAUUACCUACAGUAAUUAGAUACCUGAUAACAAGAUACUUGAAUGAAUACUUUUUUCCAAGGUAUGCCUGUGACAUUCAGGUUCUUUGGUUUCUGCAUGAGAGGGGCAUAGGAAUGGCCCAGUGAGGAUCAUCGACCAGCUGAGGGAUAACCACAAUGAGGAGUGGUUGAAAUGUGUGGUUCAGUACACAUCAGAGUGUGUGGCCUUUUUUGAUAAUCCUGGCCUGCAUCCACUGCACUUCCAAUUUCCGCCACCACUUGCUCCAGUACCCAGCUACAAAUGGCUCCUCACUGUGUACAGUCAGGACAUCCUCAACAGGCUCAAUCACAUAAGGGCCAGCAUA